CUUGUUCCCUACUCUAAGCUCUCCUAUGGUGAACCACCAUUCAUCCUCUAACACCUUCAUUUCUUGUCUCCAAACAAUCGCCCAUAAAUAUACAGAGGAACCAAGCUUGAAAUCAGAAAAUCAAACUCACAAAAACUCACCAAAAAUCCUCUUCUUCUCACUCCUCUUCUCACGGCACUACCGAGCCACCACCACAGCGCACACCACUCUCUGCGCGCCACCACCCUCUGACUGACGAAGUCGCGUCAGUCCUCGCCGGCGACCCACAGCCGUCGCUGCUCUCUCCCUCUCUCUCCUCUUUCCUUCGCUUCCCCUCCCUCGUGUCUUGCCCCUUCGUGCUGCUGUUGCUUUUGCUCGUUGCUGCUGCCGGAACUCCGACGACCGCCGCCGCAGAACUCCCCUGUCGCUACGCUGCACGCCGGAGUUAACUGGAUCCGCCGUUCAGUUCGCCGGAGCUCCGAGCUCCCUUGCCUCUCUGUUUCGUCCCUGCUCCAAGUGAGCAGAGUGUUACAAUGGUUUCAGGUUGAAGUUAUGGAGCACUCCUUCCAAGGUAGAAGCAGUUACAUGCUAAGAGUUCAACUAUGUUGAUUUUAUGUUUCUUAUGAAGCGAGGACGUUCCACUUUGUAUUAGAUAAUAAUAGAUGAGUUAGUUUUAUUUCUAGUGCUGGAUGAGCAAUAUUGCUCCUAAUUCACUUUAGAUGUACUCCGCGGAAGCAUUGAGUUAAGGAUUUGGGAAUGUUUUAUUUGUAACAGGUUCCUCAAGCAUCUUUCCCAUUAUGGGUUGACCAAUUUACAAAGGAGACUCUGCCGAAA